rnacentral:rRNA from 1 species
UACGGGGGGGGCAAGCGUUGUUCGGAAUUACUGGGCGUAAAGGGCUCGUAGGUGGCCAACUAAGUCAGACGUGAAAUCCCUCGGCUUAACCGGGGAACUGCGUCUGAUACUGGAUGGCUGGAGAUUGGGAGAGGGAUGCGGAAUUCCAGGUGUAGCGGUGAAAUGCGUAGAUAUCUGGAGGAACACCGGUGGCGAAGGCGGCGUCCUGGACCAACACUGACGCUGAGGAGCGAAAGCCAGGGGAGCAAACGGG